GACGAACGCUGGCGGCGUGCUUAACACAUGCAAGUCGAGCGGUAAGGCCCUUUCGGGGGUACGACGAGCGGCGAACGGGUGAGUAACACGUGGGUGACCUGCCCUCCAGCUCUGGGAGUAAGCCUGGGAAACCGGGUCUAAUACUGGAUAUGACUCCAUGACGCAUGUUGUGGGGUGGAAAGCCUUGUGCGGCUGAGGAUGGGCCCGCGGCCUAUCAGCUUGUUGGUGGGGUGAGGCCUACCAAGGCGACGACGGGUAGCCGGCCUGAGAGGGCGACCGGCCACACUGGGAC
rnacentral:rRNA from 1 species